UCAAUGCUUUUUUCCCUAAUUUAACCCCCCUUGUAUAUCUUGACGCGAGCCAGUGUCAUGGUUUUUACCAAAAGCCCAAAAUUCAUCAAUAUUUGCAUUCGGAGAGCUAACGAUGACGUUGAUCAGGGUGCGCAAAUUGGUGAAUGAUGAACUUCACUUUCAUGUUUUGUUAGGCUCCGGGAUACAUUUGUAUAGGAUGAGAAAAAAGUGAGAAACAAGAUCCCAAAAAUAGGUAAAUGGGAUUCUACCAAAAUGGUGUGACCCAAUGAGAAAGGAAAAACGUGAGACGUGCCUGAGAAAAGUUAUCGGGCUUUGUCAGGCCUGAACUCGUGAGUCUCCUUCUUCCUUCAACCAAGCAUCCCAAUGGUCAUAUCUCCGGUGACUUCUUUGGUGAUUUCAAGCAAAGGAAGACCAGAUCUACACUCCUCUUGCUUUGGCAAGACAUUUCCUCUAUUUUCUUGUAUAUCUUGGUAGAUAAGAAUGUUUUAACCAUUGUUGUGCCAGUCUCUGCAAUGACUGACCCAUUUCAUCUUCUUCACUAUUUUCAGCAAGGAGAAGCUCCAUUCUCCUUGUGUAGACGAGAUUUGGUAGGACAGUCUGUUUUAGCGAGCAAAGGAGAAGCUCCAUUUCAUCUUCUUCACUACUUGCGCCAAUCUCUGUUCUAGCCUUCUCAUUUUAUGAGAUUUGUUAGGACAUGCACAAGGGUAAAAUGAGAGUUGUUAGGUACAGGGGUUUUCUCUGAGAUUCACGUUACAGUGCUGUGACAAAGGAUUUUUUUUUUGUUUCUUUGUUAUUCUGAAGUGAUGCUAUUUGUUAGGUGCAGGGGUUUUCUCAGAGAUUUUUUUUUUUUUGGUUAUUUGAUCAUCAGAUAACUGCUGGUUUGAUCGAUUUACAGUGGUGUGCAUUUUUUUCCACUAUGACUUCCAACAAGACUACCUAUUCUUUUGGUUCGAUUUUAGAACCCUUUUCUACCAAGAUCAAAGAAGACGAUGGAGCUAUUACCAAAGAAGAAGAAGAAGAAGAAGAAGAAGAGGGAACCGAUUGGUUCUUCUAAAGUGUUGACUUAAUUCCUUGUUUUACUGUAGAUUUAUCUGGGGUCAGAAGAGGGAACCAAAUGGGUAGAUUUAUCCGGGAUAAGAAGUGAUGCUAUUUGAAGCUUUGGUCCACGUGAUCAAAGAAGAUGAUUGGGUAUAUUUAUCUAGUAGCCGAUUGGGUAGAUUUAUCUGUGUAUAUGUUUUUAAUUUUUGGUCAGAAUAUAACCCCUGUUUUUAA